UGGAGUAAAAAAGAGGGGAUAUGAAAUAAAAACAAUUCCAUAGUCAUCAAAAAAUAUUUCUUGGCUAUUUACAAGAAUCACCAAAGAUUUACAAUAUAAACAUGUAAAGGAAAAAAAUCUGUUAGUCAUGCUACAUGAAAGAAGGGUUGUUUCUUAAUUUAUCAGAUGGGGGAAUGGAAGGACUCCAAUUUAUCAAAAAUGGAUGGUUGCAUUUUCUUUAGAAUUCUGUAAGAAUUGUAUGUAAAAUGAACUUUAUUUUAUGGGUGGUCAGGGUCUGAAAAAAGUGCCUCCUCUCCCCAAUGUAAUUUUUAAACAGCCCUAAGCAUGAACGAGCCUCCUUAUUGGUGCAAUUGUCAAUUUUUUUAUUUAGACAUAAGAAUAUGAUUAAAAUGCAACUUUCACAUGUUGAAAUGGUAAA
rnacentral:lncRNA from 1 species